rnacentral:lncRNA from 1 species
ACUCAAAAAUCUUCUUAAGAUACUUGAUUAAUGAAAUUUAUACGGACUCAUUAAGAAUUUCCAUAUCUACGAAAAUCAUACAUCAAAAAAAAGAAUGUGGAAUAAUUCUUUAAACCAGCAUACAAUCUUCGAGUAUCUCUUCAGACCCUCACCGAACACACAUCAUUCUCACCGAACACACAUCAUUCACUUUGAUAUACUGAAGAAACAUAAGUCGGCCAUCUUUACAAGCCUAUCAUCCAUAAACUGUGUAAGAUUAAUACAUUCAUUACUCAACUUUUAUACAAGUUAUUACAUCUAAAAAAGUGAUAGUUUGUAGAUUGCAAGGAUUAGAUUAUCACCGGAAUGGAUUCCUCCC